AUUGAACGCUGGCGGCAUGCUUUACACACGCAAGUCGAACGGUAACAGGGUGCUUGCACCGCUGACGAGUGGCGAACGGGUGAGUAAUGCGUCGGAACGUGCCGAGUAGUGGGGGAUAACGCAGCGAAAGUUGUGCUAAUACCGCAUACGUACUGAGGUAGAAAGUGGGGGACCUUCGGGCCUCACGCUAUUCGAGCGGCCGACGUCUGAUUGGCUAGUAGGUGAGGUAAAGGCUCACCUAGGCGACGAUCAGUAGCGGGUCUGAGAGGAUGAUCCGCCACACUGGGACUGAGACACGGCCCAGACUCCUACGGGAGGCAGCAGUGGGGAAUUUUGGACAAUGGGCGAAAGCCUGAUCCAGCCAUGCCGCGUGUCUGAAGAAGGCCUUCGGGUUGUAAAGGACUUUUGUCAGGGAGGAAAUCCCUAGUGCUAAUAACACUGGGGGAUGACAGUACCUGAAGAAUAAGCACCGGCUAACUACGUGCCAGCAGCCGCCGUAA
rnacentral:rRNA from 1 species